GCAUAUCAAUAAGCGGAGGAAAAGAAACCAACAGGGAUUACCUCAGUAACGGCGAGUGAAGCGGUAACAGCUCAAAUUUGAAAUCUGGUCCCCUCUGGGGGCCCGAGUUGUAAUUUGAAGAGGAUGCUUUUGGCGAGGCGCCUUCCGAGUGCCCUGGAACGGGACGCCACAGAGGGUGAGAGCCCCGUAUGGUAGGACGCCGAGCCUCUGUAAAGCUCCUUCGACGAGUCGAGUAGUUUGGGAAUGCUGCUCAAAAUGGGAGGUAAACCCCUUCUAAAGCUAAAUAUUGGCCAGAGACCGAUAGCGCACAAGUAGAGUGAUCGAAAGAUGAAAAGCACUUUGAAAAGAGAGUUAAACAGCACGUGAAAUUGUUGAAAGGGAAGCGCUUGCGACCAGACUUGCGCCCGUCGGAUCAACCGUCCCUCGUGGGCGGCGCACUCCGGCGGGCUCAGGCCAGCAUCAGUUUUCCUGGGGGGAGAAAGGCGGUGGGAAUGUAGCUCUUCGGAGUGUUAUAGCCUGCCGCGUAAUGCCCCCGGGGGGACUGAGGACCGCGCGUAAGCAAGGAUGCUGGCGUAAUGGUCGUCAGCGACCCGUCUUGAAACACGGACC
rnacentral:rRNA from 1 species